AAGGACAUUGUUUCAAUGGCUGAUUCCACCACAACCAUUGAUGACAUAGAAGGGGAGCUCUUUAAAAUUGAGAGAAUAAGAGAGGUCCUCGUGCGAAGGGAGUCAGAGCUGAGAUACAUGAUGGAUGACAUUCAGCUUUGUAAAGAAAUCAGUCGGCUGAAAAAGGAGCUUCAGAAACUCAUUGCACUGCCAGAAACAGAGAAGUCUAACGAGGAGAAGCAGAAGGAGGAAGAGCUGGUACAGCAGAUACACAAGCUGGUGGAAACGCGGGAUUUCCUGGUGGACGACGUGGAAUUUGAAAGACUGAGGNAAAGAGAAGAAGACAAAGAAAUGGCUGAAUUCCUGAAAAGCAAGCUGUCCAAAAGCUAUCUCCAGAAAGCAACUCCUGCCAAAAAGAAGAAAAUGACUUCCAGAGGGCAGCAAACCUCCACACCAUAUGUGACCAAAACAGGUCUUACCCUGCUAAAGGAGUGUUGUGGCUUUACCUGCUCCAUUAUGUAGACUGAUCCGGUGGCUCCUCUGCACAGAGCAAGAUCAUGGCUCUGCAUUAGUGCUUCUUCCCUCUCGCAUCAGUAUGCACUGGUGUCACAUCCAGCAGUGGCAAAACUGGGCCAGUGAGAUCAUUGUCAUGAAAGUGAUUGUUCAACAAGAAGUUCAGCAUUCAGAAUAUAUCUCAGGAUCUAACAGGACUCCAGGCAGAGUCUGCAGCUCCUGAGAGCUUCCACUUCCCAUCAUUGCUCAUGCUUCCCACCAUGGCAUAAACACUAAAAGGACAUUUCUGAGCUGGCGGUUACAAGCGUAGACAUUGGCUUGUUUCUUAGUGCCACUUAAAAGGUAGUGUCCUUCAUGACAUCAGCAAACCACAGCUACCAACUGAUCUCAGCCUGGCAGAGGCUUGUGGAGCAACAGCAGAGGCACAUGCAAGGGAACGUCAGACAAACUGGAUCUGUCUGUAGCUUUUAAGCAAACAGAAUAAAAAGGGGACUUGGGAGAGUUUGCACUCAUUAAACAUCACACCCCUCACAUUUUGCAGUGCUCUGACAUGGCAACAGGGUGUCACAUUUUCCUCCUGCUUCUUACCCAUUCCAUAGUUCAUCUCAAUGGGCUGGCUCGAAAGAACCCCUUCUAGGAAAAAGCCUCUGGUUUGGAUAUUGCGAAUGUACCAUUUUGCUGUCACAUGUGUGAUGGCUGUGAAUGAUGCUCUGGGAAGGGUCAGAGUACAAAACCAAAAAGAGAAGUCCCGUGAGGACUAAUUUGUUAGAGGUGUAUAUUGUCAAUGAUGUGUUGCCUGAAUGCAGACCCUGAUGUGUUUAUAAACUUACAGUUGGGAAAUUGGUUUCAAACCUAUUGAAACACUGAAUUCACAUUCCAGCCUCAGCACUGGGCCCAUGAUCCAGUUAGCAGAAAAAGGGAAAAAUAGAGGAAGGAGGAAGAAAAAAAAAAAGAAAAACAUGGUGACAGCAGAGGAGAAAACAGAUAGGGAGUGGAGAGGAAAGGAGGAGAUAAAUAUGAGAUGAAAACUCCUAAUGAAAGCAGACAUAUUACUCAAAUUCUUCCCUCAGGCACAUCAGAACUGCCCUCCUAGGAUCAAUGGCGUGACUCAGAGGAGAAUUUGGCCCACAGACAAGUGGGACAGUUCAGUAUCUGAAGGGUCUCCUCUUUAAUAACCGACUCCCCAGUCUGCUUUAUGGCUGCCUAGGAAUAUGUCUGUUUUUAGCAUUAAAACAGCUUUACUGGAAAAAGAAUUCAUACUAAUCUGGUAAACCCAGAAACAUCAUUAGCCAAAGCCCUGAGCUCCAUGAAGUUCAUCUAGCCCUACUUUUGACCCCUUGUGUUCUAUACUUCCAUAGUACCUGUACAUCCAAAGUCAUUACUGCUGAGAGCUCAACAAGACAGUUGAUCUGCUAUUUUGUGGACAUCUAUGCCGCAGCCUUCUGCUUUUCAAGCUGACAUGGAUUCUUCCUCCAGACAUUUUGGGGUGGCACAUGGCUCUCUGUGAGCUGUAUUGCUCUUUGAUGCAUGGCAGGCCUUUAGCUCAGUUUUGCUGAAGCUCUCUGUAGGACUAUGAGAAGAAUUUCCUAUUUGGCCUGAUGUGUGACUAUCAGUCAUGGGUUUUCUGGUGGAAUGUGAAGCAAGGUGCUGGUGGACCACUGCCAUCAUUUCAUUUACUGUCCCAUGUAGCUGAUUACAGAAAAACCUUGUUAAUUUGGUAUCAGAGAGUUCAAAGUGUUGGAUACUUCAAAGCUAUGUCACUCCCUAGCCAGAAGGAUAGGUUUUUCUAUGCAUUAGUAUAUGCAUAAUAUGAUAGAUGUCUCCUUUGAAAUUCAAAGCUGUUUUCUGGUCCUUUGGACCAGGAAAACCUUGUUAAUUUGAAACACAAGGAACCAAAAAAUACCAACUUUGAAAUACUGUAAAUGGGUU